GGGGUUGUGGCUCAGAGGUAGAGCACUUACCUAGCAUACAUGAGGCACUGGGUUCGAUCCUCAGCACCACA
rnacentral:tRNA from 1 species